AUUGAACGCUGGCGGCAUGCCUUACACAUGCAAGUCGAACGGCAGCACGGGAGCAAUCCUGGUGGCGAGUGGCGAACGGGUGAGUAAAGUAUCGGAACGUGCCCAGUCGUGGGGGAUAACGUAGCGAAAGUUACGCUAAUACCGCAUACGAUCUAUGGAGGAAAGCGGGGGAUCGCAAGACCUCGCGGCAUUGGAGCGGCCGAAAUCAGAUUAGGUAGUUGGUGGGGUAAAGGCUCAACAAGCCGACGAUCUGUAGCUGGGCUGAGAGGACGACCAGCCACACUGGGACUGAGACACGGCCCAGACUCCUACGGGAGGCAGCAGUGGGGAAUUUUGGACAAUGGGCGAAAGCCUGAUCCAGCCAUGCCGCGUGCAGGAUGAAGGCCUUCGGGUUGUAAACUGCUUUUGUACGGAACGAAAAGGUUUGGCCUAAUAAGCUGAGCUCAUGACGGUACCGUAAGAAUAAGCACCGGCUAACUACGUGCCAGCAGCCGCCGCCG
rnacentral:rRNA from 1 species